GUGGUGUGCCAGUAUCAUGGAUCACCUACUUUACUGUGUAACAUGAUUUUUGUUCCUGGCAAAUAAGUGUCUUUUUCCAACUACAUUUAUUGCAGAACAAUAGAAAAAGCCCAAAUUUUCAUGUCAAACUUUGGCU